rnacentral:piRNA from 1 species
UGUGACCUCGUGCUGGUGACUUACCCUUUC